UGUAUCGAUGAUGAUCAUUUGGCUCCCUCUACUGACGUAAAACAGUGAGGAAGAUUGCCAGAAUUGUUACCCAAACCUUCUGAGAUACA